ensembl:lncRNA
GAGCUCCGUCCGGACCCGCCGCUCGGGACUCCACAGUUUGGUACCCGCUUUUAAAAUGAAUGUGACUCGUAAUGAUAAUUGUAGUAUUCCCUGCUUUAUGAAGUGACACUGUGACCACCCGCCUCGACGCCACGAUGUGUAGCCAUCUUGCCGACGAAGUAUACGCGCACCUGGAAGCGGAGCGAGAGGCGCAGUGUUUGUUGUUCACAGGACUGUGAAGAAAGUACGAUGGAAUGUUUUUAGCGCGACUUCCUCUGAAAACUUGAAUAAUCUCGGUGUUAAUUGUUCUUAAAGGCAAAGAAAUGAUGGCACAUGCUUUCAGUCUGUGGCACUUGGCUCACCUCGGGGUCGUAAUUCAAGAGUAUGUUUUCACCCCUGCUAAAAGUGUUCACCCAAAGGUGUUUAUGGCAUUCAAACACAUUAGCAUCCAUUUUCGUUUCUAGUCAAGCUCCUCUUCACAAAACAUAUUUUAUGUUUUUUUUUUUCCUCUUUCUUACUGAAACGCUUAUAUGACAUCAACUUUUCUUCAUUCAUAAUUAACAAAUAUUUGUUUACUAACAUCUGUGUGUAGGUCUCAUACAAAAAGGUACAAAUGAAUGAGGGCUUCUCUUUUUACGUGUUUGCACUGUUUUAACCAGGUGCGUUUAUUACUUGGCAGAAGAUCAACUGUCGGUAAACUGUGACUCCUCUCUUUGCUUUUAACAGGGUACCGUGAUAAUACAGCAGUGUUGAAAUGGUACUUGUCCUAGAAUGUUCUGCCACCAUCAAGUACAGUUGAUCAGCUGGUUGACAGCUUUGUAAAUGUAACUUUCUUACUGCAUUAUGUGCCACUACUUCUGGUAAUUCUGCACUUUGCUUUUGUUGUUUUUACUUGUUUUUUUGCCCCUACAGCAGAUAUUACACUUUCCUCUGAGAUGAUACCUCACAUACUUUGUAUUUCCACCGGUAGGCUCAGCCUUCAGCUUCCCCGCAACCCGUCAUCGAUGUUGUACCACGUUCACAACGGUUUCCGUUUUCUGAAGCUGUGUGCACUCGUCUGCCUGCAUUUAGCGCAUUUUCGUUCUUGUACAUUAAAUGAUGCUUUUUAUUUGUCUUAUUUUAAGUUGUUUUUGCUUUGAGUUUUUCCACCUGGUUGCUGAAUCAACCCACGUCUUUCACCACAGAUAACACUAACUUUUUGACGUUUUCUAGAUUCUUGUUUUCAAAGAAAAGAUGGCAUUCAGACUUCUAAAGUGUUAACUUUGUUUUCUUUUCCAAGUGAGAAAAUGUCCCAACUGCCGGGCACGUCAGGGCCAAAUUAUUUGACCUUUUACAAAACCC